UAUNCNUGCAGUCGANCGAGAAAGUUCUUCGGAACGAGUAGAGUGGCGGACGGGUGAGUAACGCGUGGAUAACCUGCCCUUCAGCGGGGAAUAACUGGCCGAAAGGCCAGCUAAUACCGCAUAUGCCUACACUGACUGCGGUCAGAGUGGGGAAAGAUUUAUCACUGAAGGAUGGGUCCGCGUAUGAUUAGCUUGUUGGUGGGGUAAAGGCCUACCAAGGCUUCGAUCAUUAGCUGGUCUGAGAGGAUGAUCAGCCACACUGGAACUGAGACACGGUCCAGACUCCUACGGGAGGCAGCAGUAGGGAAUAUUGCGCAAUGGAGGAAACUCUGACGCAGCGACGCCGCGUGUGUGAUGAAGGCCCUCGGGUCGUAAAGCACUGUCGUUAGGGAAUAUGAUGAAGGUACCUAACAAGAAAGGACCGGCUAACUUCGUGCCAGCAGCCGCGGUNNNNNNAGGGGUCCUAGCGUUGUUCGGAAUUACUGGGCGUAAAGCGGGUGUAGGCGGAAAGGCAAGUCAGAAGUGAAAUCCCUGGGCCCAACCUAGGACGUGCUUUUGAUACUGCUUUUCUUGAGUGUGGGAGAGGGUAGUAGAAUUCCUGGUGUAGUGGUGAAAUACNUAGAUAUCNNNAGGAACACCGGUGGCNNANGGNGGNUACNUGGCCCNACANUGACGCUCAGACCCGAAAGCNNGGGGAGCAAACAGGAUUAGAUACNCUGGUAGUCCAC
rnacentral:rRNA from 1 species